rnacentral:rRNA from 1 species
GGAAGGUGGGGAUGACGUCAAGUCCUCAUCGGCCCUUAUGGGUAGGGCUUCACACGUCAUACAAUGGUCGGUACAGAGGGUUGCCAAGCCGCGAGGUGGAGCCAAUCCCAGAAAGCCGAUCGUAGUCCGGAUUGUUCUCUGCAACUCGAGAGCAUGAAGUCGGAAUCGCUAGUAAUCGCGGAUCAGCAUGUCGCGGUGAAUACGUUCCCGGGUCUU